UGGUAGCUCAGUCGGUAGAGCAUGUGACUGAAAAUCACAGUGUCGGUGGUUCGAUUCCGC
rnacentral:tRNA from 1 species